UACGUAGGGGGCAAGCGUUGUCCGGAGUUACUGGGCGUAAAGCGCACGCAGGCGGUCUGUUAAGUUUGGAGUGACAGUUGGUGGCUUAACUGCCAAAGUGCUUUGAAAACUGAUAGACUUGAGGGCUUCAGAGGGACACGGAAUUCCGGGUGGAGUGGUGAAAUGCGUAGAGAUCCGGAGGAACACCAAAGGCGAAGGCAGUG
rnacentral:rRNA from 1 species